ACCCCCAUCGUGGCCCAGCCCACACCAAAGCUUACCCUCAGGGUCUCCAAUUCCUUGCGAGCCUGGCUUAGCUGCUUCUCCAGUUCAGCGAUCUUGGCCAUGGAGUCGUUCUCUGUGUCCCGAAGCCGCUCUGUCAGCUGUGGUACCAGCACAUGGCCCAGACCUCCAGCCUGAGCCAGCUCCCCCCUCUGUCCAGUAUCUCUGAGUUCCCCAUCACCGGCUGAGAUCGGAGCAUCCGACGGGACUGAUGCUCCUGUGUCAAGACCCAGAACCACCUGAGCCUGUUCCAGGACUUCGGUGACAGAUGUUAUAGUAUCCGUCAUGUACCAGGGGCUCCUCUACACAUCUGGAGUCAUUGUCACCUCUGUGAUUGACAGGCAGACAGACUCAGAAGGAUGAACAGAUGCAUACAAGGCUGCGCAGCUACCAAGUGACAGAGCCUCGCAAGUGACAUGACUGCCGGUAUGUGUCACCAAGCCCAGCUUUCAGAGCCGAUGCUCGAACUCAAGACCUGCUAACUACAUACUAAAUACCCCACAGUGAGUAGGCUGUUCAGUCAGGGAUGGGGUACAAGGCUCACCUCCAAGUACAGGUCCAGACCCAGGUGAGUGAACUCAUAUUGCAGGAAGACACGGAAGUUCAUAUUCUCCACAGAGUGCACCACAAUGUUGAUGAAUUGCAUGCAGGUAUCUGAGUGCUUUGCUUGCAUGUAUGUAUAGGCAAGCGACCUGGUACCUGCGGAGGUCAGAAAAAUGUUAUCAGAUCCCCCGGCGCUGGAGUUAUGGAUAGCUGUCAAUUGCCAUGUGGAUGCUGGAAUCAAUCCAGGGUCCUCCGCAAGGUCAAGUGCCCUUAACCACUGAGCCAUCUCUCCAGCCCCUUGGAUUUUCGUUGUCGUGAUUGUUGUCAUUGUUUUUACCACUAUGUAGCCAUGCCUACAUGGUGUUCAUCAGGAUCCACCUGCCUCUGCCCC
rnacentral:lncRNA from 1 species